rnacentral:rRNA from 1 species
UUGAACGCUGGCGGCAGGCCUAACACAUGCAAGUCGAACGGUAACAGGAAGAAGCUUGCUUCUUUGCUGACGAGUGGCGGACGGGUGAGUAAUGUCUGGGAAACUGCCUGAUGGAGGGGGAUAACUACUGGAAACGGUAGCUAAUACCGCAUAACGUCGCAAGACCAAAGAGGGGGACCUUCGGGCCUCUUGCCAUCGGAUGUGCCCAGAUGGGAUUAGCUAGUAGGUGGGGUAACGGCUCACCUAGGCGACGAUCCCUAGCUGGUCUGAGAGGAUGACCAGCCACACUGGAACUGAGACACGGUCCAGACUCCUACGGGAGGCAGCAGUGGGGAAUAUUGCACAAUGGGCGCAAGCCUGAUGCAGCCAUGCCGCGUGUAUGAAGAAGGCCUUCGGGUUGUAAAGUACUUUCAGCGGGGAGGAAGGGAGUAAAGUUAAUACCUUUGCUCAUUGACGUUACCCGCAGAAGAAGCACCGGCUAACUCCGUGCCAGCAGCCGCGGUAAUACGUAGGUGGCAAGCGUUAUCCGGAAUUAUUGGGCGUAAAGCGCGCGUAGGCGGUUUCUUAAGUCUGAUGUGAAAGCCCCCGGCUCAACCGGGGAGGGUCAUUGGAAACUGGGGAACUUGAGUGCAGAAGAGGAGAGUGGAAUUCCAUGUGUAGCGGUGAAAUGCGCAGAGAUAUGGAGGAACACCAGUGGCGAAGGCGGCUCUCUGGUCUGUAACUGACGCUGAUGUGCGAAAGCGUGGGGAUCAAACAGGAUUAGAUACCCUGGUAGUCCACGCCGUAAACGAUGAGUGCUAAGUGUUAGGGGGUUUCCGCCCCUUAGUGCUGCAGCUAACGCAUUAAGCACUCCGCCUGGGGAGUACGACCGCAAGGUUGAAACUCAAAGGAAUUGACGGGGGCCCGCACAAGCGGUGGAGCAUGUGGUUUAAUUCGAAGCAACGCGAAGAACCUUACCAGGUCUUGACAUCCUUUGACCACUCUGGAGACAGAGCUUUCCCUUCGGGGACAAAGUGACAGGUGGUGCAUGGUUGUCGUCAGCUCGUGUCGUGAGAUGUUGGGUUAAGUCCCGCAACGAGCGCAACCCUUAUCCUUUGUUGCCAGCGGUCCGGCCGGGAACUCAAAGGAGACUGCCAGUGAUAAACUGGAGGAAGGUGGGGAUGACGUCAAGUCAUCAUGGCCCUUACGACCAGGGCUACACACGUGCUACAAUGGCGCAUACAAAGAGAAGCGACCUCGCGAGAGCAAGCGGACCUCAUAAAGUGCGUCGUAGUCCGGAUUGGAGUCUGCAACUCGACUCCAUGAAGUCGGAAUCGCUAGUAAUCGUGGAUCAGAAUGCCACGGUGAAUACGUUCCCGGGCCUUGUACACACCGCCCGUCACACCAUGGGAGUGGGUUGCAAAAGAAGUAGGUAGCUUAACCUUCGGGAGGGCGCUUACCACUUUGUGAUUCAUGACUGGGGUG